rnacentral:rRNA from 1 species
CUCAAAUUUGAAAUCUGGUCCCCUUGCGGGGCCCGAGUUGUAAUUUGAAGAGGAUGCUUCUGGCAAGGUGCCUUCCGAGUUCCCUGGAACGGGACGCCGCAGAGGGUGAGAGCCCCGUACGGUAGGACGCCGAGCCUCUGUGAAGCUCCUUCGACGAGUCGAGUAGUUUGGGAAUGCUGCUCAAAAUGGGAGGUAAACCCCUUCUAAAGCUAAAUACCGGCCAGAGACCGAUAGCGCACAAGUAGAGUGAUCGAAAGAUGAAAAGCACUUUGAAAAGAGAGUUAAAAAGCACGUGAAAUUGUUGAAAGGGAAGCGCUUGCGACCAGACUCGCGCCCGUCGGAUCAGCCGUCGCUUGUCGGCGGCGCACUCCGGCGGGCUCGGGCCAGCAUCAGUUCGCCUGGGGGGAGAAAGGCGGCAGGAAUGUGGCUCCUCGGAGUGUUAUAGCCUGCCGUGUAAUACCUCCGGGCGGACUGAGGACCGCGCGUAUGCAAGGAUGCUGGCGUAAUGGUCGUCAGCGACCCGUCUUGAAACACGGACCAAGGAGUCGUCCUAAUAUGCGAGUGUACGGGUGUCAAACCCCUGCGCGUAAUGAAAGUGAACGGAGGUGAGAGCUUCGGCGCAUCAUCGACCGAUCCUGAUGUUCUCGGAUGGAUUUGAGUAAGAGCAUAUUGGGCCGGACCCGAAAGAAGGUGAACUAUGCCUGUGUAGGGUAAAGCCAGAGGAAACUCUGGUGGAGGCUCGCAGCGGUUCUGACGUGCAAAUCGAUCGUCAAACAUGGGCAUGGGGGCGAAAGACUAAUCGAACCUUCUAGUAGCUGGUUUCUGCCGAAGUUUCCCUCAGGAUAGCAGUGUUGAAUCUCUCAGUUUUAUGAGGUAAAGCGAAUGAUUAGGGACUCGGGGGCGCUAUUUAGCCUUCAUCCAUUCUCAAACUUUAAAUAUGUAAGAAGCCCUUGUUACUUA